GUCAGCAUUUAGUGAUGCAAGGCCAGAACAACAGCGGUCCUUGGUCUGUGGUUUCUAAACCCCUAAGGGCUGACCUACAGGUCCUCUACAAACUUCAAAAUGACUGCUCAGAAUUACUUUGAGCUCUUUGAUGCCAAGAACGGAGUCUGAACACCUGUGCAGCACAAUGCCUGGCACAAAACAUGGCAGAGGGAGAAGAUGCUGGGCUCAGUGACUGAAGAAUGAAUGUGUAGUCUGAAACUGAGUAGAUCCUGAAUCUGUGUAUGGGAGGCAAACCCUUGUAUUUUUCAGCCGGAUUUGCCAGGAUAUAAGAGAAGACAAUAGGGAAAAAGAAAACACAAAAGUAUAAUGAAACUGAGGCAUGGAGAAAAUACAUAAUUCAUCCCAGGUCAUCUGACAUAAGCAUUUGAAAUUGGGCAAGUUGACACUAAGAGCCCAAGCUGUGGUUUGUCUCCAUCUCCCCAACCACUUCUGAAAAUGAGUAGAUGGAUUUUGUUAAGAGAAUUCUUUGAAAUCCAUGUCCCUGCUGCCUGGGAAAUCUCGGGAGAAGAGCAACUAAGAACUUUCAGACCAAAGUCAGGAGAGCAUGUUUGCUUUGACAUCAGUUGGAGCAAGGGAUCUGUGGGUAUUUUCCAUGGAUUGUUGUGAGCCACAUAGGAGAGAAAAUUCUGCUUCAGACCCAAAACAGCUCAACAUGGGGCAGGGAGAAGGUUUGACACUGAAAUUGAGCACUGAGACCCAUUUCUGAAAAUGGACCCAUUAGGAUUUUGAAAUUGAGAGUGUGAUUUCAAAAUAAGCACUCACUGCACUCUGACCUAUAAGGAAGUGAACGUUGAGGACCUGCUGGGCUUUUCAUGCUGGGGCAGAUGAUGAUCAUCCCAGCAUUACCUCUUAAGUCUAGGGUAGGGAGCAAAAAUGAAGGAGCACAAUUCUGCAGCAGCCUCAGGAGUUCUAUGACACAAAACCUCAUUUUGGAAACACUUCCGGUAUAAGUUCUCACAUAUGGACAGAAAAUAAAAUCAGGAGGAAAAAUCAAGAGGUAUGGAAUGGAAGAAUAAUCAAGUUACCUAAUAAAGUUGUUGUUGAAAAAGAAAAAGAAUUUAGAAUGACAAUUUUAGACAAUUACAACUGAGAUGAGGGUGAGAGUAAGGGGCAGAGACUAAAUUAAUGUAAGAAUAUGCUAGACAAUCUUUCCCAUUCAUGAAAGACAUAAAUAUUAAUUCAUUGAAAAUACAGUGUAAUAAAGCACUGAUAAUAACUUAGUAUAAACUGGAAAACAGAAAAGAAAAGAGGAACCAAGUUAUUUGUCUAUUGGAUAAAUCAAACUUUAUAGACUGAUUUAUGAGUUUUAGUUAUACAGUACCCUAAAAGCAAUUUUCAUAAUAGAAAGCACAAUAAAAUGUCUAGGAAGUACUAACAUAAACGUAUAGUAGGUAUAAAUGGUUUAACUCACCAACUGGAAGAGUCCCGGUUUAGAUUUUUAGAUUUUCAAGAAUACGAGCAGUGUUUUCAACAUAUACACUUAGAUAACAAGAUGCAAGAAAGUUUAAAAACCUCAUGAUGGAGAAAGCUACAUCAGGCGAAUAUAAACCAAGUGGAAUCUGGAAAAGGAAUCUUAAAAAACUACUGCAAAUGUCACAUUCGAUGGAGAAAUUUUAGAUACAUUAUCUCAAAAGUGAACUAAAAAUCCAGAAUGUUUAUUCUUCGCUGUAGCUGUUUCAGAUGGAACAGAACUUCAGAACAGAGGUGGGGCCUUCUUGGACAUGGUCUGCUGAUUUUCAGAAAGUGUUUUUCUUUUUUUUCCUUCAUGUUUUUUUUCUACUUCCCUAUUUCUCAAACUGCUAUUAUUCAAACACCAGCAAGUCCAUUUCCAAUUUCUAGACCCCUUAGCUUUUCUUUUAUGGUUCUCCACCUUCCCUUGGUGACUUCUUUUAUUUUAUAGUAUUUAUUUUUUUCCA